UACAGAGGGUGCAAGCGUUGUUCGGAAUUAUUGGGCGUAAAGGGAGUGUAGGCGGUUUGUUAAGUCUUCUGUGAAAUCUACGGGCUUAGCCUGUAACGUGCAGAGGAAACUGACAGGCUUGAGUGUCGGAGAGGAUAGGGGAAUUCCCGGUGUAGAGGUGAAAUGCGUAGAUAUCGGGAAGAACGCCUAUGGCGAAGGCAGCUCUCUGGGACGGUACUGACGCUGAGACGCGAAAGCGUGGGGAGCGAACAGG
rnacentral:rRNA from 1 species